GGAGAGGUGACCGAGUGGUUGAAGGUGCCGCUCUCGAAAAGCGGUGUGCCCGUGAGGGUACCGCGGGUUCGAAUCCCGCCCUCUCCG
rnacentral:tRNA from 1 species